CAUUUUGAGUUUGGCAUAUAAUAAUUUGUACAGGGCAAUUCCUAACUCAAUUGGCUCCCUGAGUCAAAUUCAGACUCUGCACUUUACGCAACAAUAAUCUUUCUGGGGAGUUGCCUUCGUCUUUAAAGAGUUGCACAGAGUUGAGAAUUGUUGAUCUGGGUGUAAAUAGAUUCACAGGAAAACUGCCAGCAUGGAUAGGGACACAUCUAACAAAUUUAAUUGUUGUUAGUCUAAGAUCCAAUGAGUUCAAUGGAAGCAUACCUCAACAUAUAUGUCAUCUUAACCAUAUUAUAAUCUUGGACCUCUCUCAAAAUGAUCUGUCAGGAAACAUACCUCAUUGCUUCAACAAUUUUACUGCUUUGGUUCAAAGUAAUAGUUCCGGUGCAACCAUUAAUUUCAGCUAUACGGCACAUGCUGGUUAUUUUACGGAUGGUGGCGACUAUGUUGAUAAUGCAUUGGUGCAAUGGAAAUGACAAUUAUUUGAGUACAGGAACACUAUAGGACUGCUAAAAAUCAUUGAUCUUUCUAGCAAUGAAUUAACCGGAAGCAUUCCUGAUCAAAUUGCAAGUCUUGCAGGGCUAAUUUCCUUGAAUCUUUCAAGAAACUAUUUGACAGGAAAAAUCAUCCCAGAGAUUGGUCAGAUGAAAAUGUUGGAAUCUCUUGACUUGUCUGCAAAUAAGCCAUCAGGUGAGAUUCCUACCAGCCUUGCGCUCUUAAAUUAUCUGAGCUUGUUAAACUUGUCAAAUAACGACUUGGCUGGCAAAAUCCCAACAGGCACUCAAUUGCAAAGCUUUAAUGCCUCUGUGUUUUUGGGAAAUCCUAAACUUUGUGGGCUUCCGCUUCAAAAUAAGUGCCCAGGAGAAGAAACAAAUGUGAAUAUUGCGCCCGACAAAGACAAAAAGAAUAUUCAAGAAGAGGAUGGGUUCAUUACCUUCGGGUUUUUUGUUAGCAUGGGACUUGGUUUCAUCCUUGGAUUUUGGACAAUUCUUGGCACUAUGCUUUUAAACAGUCCAUCAAGACAUGCCUAUUUCAAGUUCUUGGACCACAUAAAAAAUUGGUUGUGUGACUACUGCAUUGAAUAUGGCUAGGCUACAAAUGAGGCUUUAUAGAUAAUCAGUCAUGUUGUGGAGCUAGCUUUGGCUCUUUGGUCUGAAGUCCAGCUGUAUGGUAACUUCUAUUGUAUAAUCAUGUCUAUUCAAUGUCCAGUUCUGUGAUCAAUUCUUAUGGUUGUACAAAACUAUUGCCGAAAGUGAUAAUCACAAUGUUUAGUUUUAUUUUUGCAAGGAUGUUAAUACAACAGAGGCGCUAGCUGUGAGUUCACAGACAGAAGAUUAAAGACGAGUUGUAGGCACUUGUUGUUCCUUAGGCAAUCUAUGUAUUUUGUAAGGAUUGUAAUAUUAACUUUAUAAAUAUUUGAUGUGUAAUUAUUAUGGAUUCUAUGUUUGCAAGGAUUCCGAUCUUCUUUCGUAAACUA